UGGGGAAUAUUGCACAAUGGAGGGAACUCUGAUGCAGCGACGCCGCGUGAGUGAUGAAGGAAUUCGUUUCGUAAAACUCUGUUCUAUGGGAAGAAAAGGACUGUACCAUAGGAGAAAGCUCCGGCUAAAUACGUGCCAGCAGCCGCGGUAAUACGUAUGGAGCGAGCGUUGUCCGGAAUUAUUGGGCGUAAAGGGUGCGCAGGCGGCUUUACAAGUUGGAUGUGAAAUAUUGUGGCUCAACCACAAACGUGCAUCCAAAACUGCAAAGCUUGAGUUAAGGAGAGGUAAGUGGAAUUCCUGGUGUAGCGGUGGAAUGCGUAGAUAUCAGGAGGAAUACCGGUGGCGAAGGCGACUUGCUGGACUUAAACUGACGCUCAGGCACGAAAGCGUGGGGAGCAAACAGG
rnacentral:rRNA from 1 species